GGCAGAUGCGUACACGCUCGCCAUAUGCGACAACAUUGGCAAAAUCAAGAAGACUAGACAUUUGUAAGGUAGAUAUUUUAUGAAUCAAUUACACAGUAGCUUUGAGUGGUAUUACGAGCUAGCGAGCCAAUAGUUUUGAAAGAAUUCGGGACGAGGGAGCUACUCACCAGUUUCUUUUUACCACGUUAACAUUUGUAAUAGGGAAAGUCGUGUUUUGUGUAGCUACUGUCUUUGUACGCUAGCCUAGGUCGCAGGCUCUAGCUUUACGUUAGAAAACGACUGCACCGUUUCUGCUACUUCGGCAGCAUCCGUAGUUCUUUCAACGCGAAACCACACUUGUUUUGGUGGCGUGAGUUUGUUCAGCAUCUCUGUUUCUUUCCCAUGUGGGAUAGCAGCAAUAGUGGUCGAGACUAGUUGGAGUGCCAACGCCUUUUUCUGUCUCUGACUGGGCGAAACUAAUCGCGAAAGCACCCGAACGUUUUGUAUUUCCCCCCAAACAAUUUAUGAGCGGUAGCUGCAAUUCAAAGCAGAUAUUGAAGAAGCCGCAAGUAGCUAGCUAACCAAGGGAUUCAAAAUGGGUUGCACGAUCAGCCAAGAGGAUAAAGCAGCGAUGGAAAGGAGUAAAAUGAUUGAUCGGAACCUACGAGAAGACCGAGACAAAGCGUCCAGGGAGGUGAAACUACUACUGCUUGGUCUCCUGAUUUUAAACUCAAUCCAACCUGUUUGGCAUCAACUGAAAACAUUCAUCCGUGACUCUGCCAAGCCUACAAGCAAAGAUGAACUGGUGAAGGCCAUCGACGUUUUGGCUUGAGAAACGGACAAUACAACAAUGCAACAAAUACAUUGAUCAUCUCAGCAAGGUUUAACCCGUGGUCGUGAAGCUACUAAAAUGUAGCUGAAAUGUACAGUUGUUGAAAUAAACAUCUACAUUUGGAG